rnacentral:lncRNA from 1 species
UCAUGGAGCAAUCACAGCGACAGUCGGUGCAAUUGAACCAAAUCCGCAUCGAUAUAAAACAAAAAUCGCAAAUAUUGUUCUGUUGUAGAUCGAAAAAGCGAACCGGACAGGUAUUGGUUGGGGAUGACACGCGCGUGACAGCUGGUUGGAUGGUGAUAGGGGGAACAAGGACGACAGCGACCCGAAGCAGGAGAGCAACAGCGGCGGCGGCAGCAGCAGCAGCAACAGCGGUACUGGCUGAGCGAAAGGCGGAUAAACCGCGCUGUGAAGCGGUGAAAGAGGAGAGAGUGUGGGCGAGGUGAGGAGGGCAGACGGCGGAUGAUGAUACUAAGAAGAGCAGGAGGAGGAGGAGGAGGGAAGAAGGAAGAGAAGAGGAUCAGAUGGAUUGUCGAGCCGUGAGAACAGUAAGGGAUUCGAGUCAGAAGAGCGCGAGAAGUUACAGCGGGUAGUUUAAGUGGUUAGUGCCGCUUGGCAGGGCGGUCAGCUUACGCUUAGCCUCUAUAGGGAGAAGGUUGAGUAAAAUGCCCGAAGAACUAACUAGCUUCACUGUCUAGCGCCCACCAGGAUUGUGAUGGAUUCUGAGUUUCUUACUAGUUAGUAACUAACUCAAAGAUAAAGGAUCUCCGUGGAUAUUGAGAACUUGAUCGACAGACAGACGGACAGACAGGUGGACGGAUAGGAAUGGAAUGAACGAGACAGAGCGGAUAGGAGCACGCACUGUCAUAGGCCAAGGGGCGGUUAGGCUGUGGCUAUUCAACUUUCAACAACAAAAGAGUUGAGCUAGUCUCUGAUUGCUUUAGCCGCUGCACCUCGCGUCUACUUGAUUCUGUCGAAUCGUGAUGCCCCAAGGCCGGACAACUCUACUAUUUGCUGGCGGAUUAGUUCCUGAUCACCGAAUGAUAGCUCCGUGUUUACGGAGUACUGGAAAUACUUUUCGAUGUAACUACAUAACGACCAUCUACAACUAUCAACCUGCAAUGUGGUGCCCUUGGUAUCACGUGACUGUACGGAAUGUGCCGAAAUACCAAUACAUACUCACUGCAUUAUACACAUAACUACUACUACGUACAGUAUAAUAACGCUUUGGUUGCUGUGGCUGGGUAAAUUACAUGCUCGUCACAAAACUGGACUGCCUUGCCGCGUCCGAGCGGUAACGUAAUUAUUU